rnacentral:lncRNA from 7 species
AGUUGUGUUAGGCACAGCACUGCUAACUGGUCAAUGAAAAUGGCUCUCCUGGACUCUGGGUAUGUGUACAGAAUGAGUAUGAGAGGCUGGAGAGCAGCUCCAAGGGAAGAGAUCUGGGGGUUCUGAGUGAUGAAAGUUGAACAAAAAUCAGCAGUGAGCCCUGGACAGCCAAAAGGGCCAAGCACAUCUUGAGCCAGUGUAGUUGAGUUAAUAUCAUUUAAAAAUAAUGCAGGAGAUAUUUAAAGCACAUCAGAAGUACAGAGGACUCUUUUUGCAAGUUGAUACCUUCAAAGAAUCCCAAAUCCCUCAAAAGUGAAUUAUAUGGUAUAAAUAAGGUCAGAUAAGAGGCAAUAAAGACUGGUUUUAAUCAUUUAGGAAGAACAGUGUCAGAUGAAGAAAGAAAAAGUUGCUAUUAUGGAUGGUCCUGCUUCAGCACAAGUGAAACAAACAAAACAAUAGCAACCAAAAACACAUAGAGAAAUCCAAACAUCUCUGUGGAGAAAAUGACCAGAUUGACAGUUUUUAGGUAAUAGGAGUCCUGAAUAAUGGGGAGUCACAGAAAAACGUCAUGAUCUUCUGUUAAUUUUAUAAUGAAACAGAAUGAUAGUAGGUUAUGUUAUGUUUGGAAGGCUUUCUUAAUUUGCCUGUGCUUCUAUUAUUUGAGAACAUAAACUACAAACUUCCUCCAUUCUAUCAUUGAGUGGAUGAGGUGUUUUGUUUUCUUUUCCAUUCCAGCUCUGAGUGUAAUAUUGAUGUGCAUGUCUUGCUUUGUCAUAGAACAAAUAUAAAUUUAUGGACAAUUAAAUCAAAUUUCUGGAAUGGUU